rnacentral:rRNA from 1 species
CCAGUAACGGCGAGUGAAGCGGCAACAGCUCAAAUUUGAAAUCUGGCUCUCGGGCCCGAGUUGUAAUUUGUAGAGGAUGCUUUUGGUGAGGUGCCUUCCGAGUUCCCUGGAACGGGACGCCAUAGAGGGUGAGAGCCCCGUCUGGUUGGACGCCGAACCUCUGUAAAGCUCCUUCGACGAGUCGAGUAGUUUGGGAAUGCUGCUCUAAAUGGGAGGUAUAUGUCUUCUAAAGCUAAAUACCGGCCAGAGACCGAUAGCGCACAAGUAGAGUGAUCGAAAGAUGAAAAGAACUUUGAAAAGAGAGUUAAAAAGUACGUGAAAUUGUUGAAAGGGAAGCGCUUGUGACCAGACUUGGGCUUGGUUGAUCAUCCGGGGUUCUCCCCGGUGCACUCUUCCGGCCCAGGCCAGCAUCAGUUCGCCCUGGGGGACAAAGGCUUCGGGAACGUGGCUCUCUCCGGGGAGUGUUAUAGCCCGUUGCGUAAUACCCUGUGGC